rnacentral:rRNA from 1 species
UGGGGAAUCUUGGACAAUGGGCGCAAGCCUGAUCCAGCCAUGCCGCGUGAGUGAUGAAGGCCUUAGGGUUGUAAAGCUCUUUUGCCGGGGACGAUAAUGACGGUACCCGGAGAAUAAGUCCCGGCUAACUUCGUGCCAGCAGCCGCGGUAAUACGAAGGGGACUAGCGUUGUUCGGAAUCACUGGGCGUAAAGCGCACGUAGGCGGAUUUGUAAGUCAGGGGUGAAAUCCCGGGGCUCAACCUCGGAACUGCCUUUGAUACUGCGGAUCUCGAGUCCGAUAGAGGUGAGUGGAAUUCCUAGUGUAGAGGUGAAAUUCGUAGAUAUUAGGAAGAACACCGGUGGCGAAGGCGGCUCACUGGAUCGGUACUGACGCUGAGGUGCGAAAGCGUGGGGAGCAAACAGGAUUAGAUACCCUUGUAGUCCCUGAGCGGGCUGGCAAGGCGCAU